AUUGAACGCUGGCGGCAUGCCUUACACAUGCAAGUCGAACGGCAGCACGGAGCUUGCUCUGGUGGCGAGUGGCGAACGGGUGAGUAAUAUAUCGGAACGUACCCUAGAGUGGGGGAUAACGUAGCGAAAGUUACGCUAAUACCGCAUACGAUCUAAGGAUGAAAGUGGGGGAUCGCAAGACCUCAUGCUCGUGGAGCGGCCGAUAUCUGAUUAGCUAGUUGGUAGGGUAAAAGCCUACCAAGGCAUCGAUCAGUAGCUGGUCUGAGAGGACGACCAGCCACACUGGAACUGAGACACGGUCCAGACUCCUACGGGAGGCAGCAGUGGGGAAUUUUGGACAAUGGGCGAAAGCCUGAUCCAGCAAUGCCGCGUGAGUGAAGAAGGCCUUCGGGUUGUAAAGCUCUUUUGUCAGGGAAGAAACGGUGAAAGCUAAUAUCUUUUGCUAAUGACGGUACCUGAAGAAUAAGCACCGGCUAACUACGUGCCAGCAGCCGCGGUAAUACGUAGGGUGCAAGCGUUAAUCGGAAUUACUGGGCGUAAAGCGUGCGCAGGCGGUUCUGUAAGUCUGAUGUGAAAUCCCCGGGCUCAACCUGGGAAUUGCAUUGGAGACUGCAAGGCUAGAAUCUGGCAGAGGGGGGUAGAAUUCCACGUGUAGCAGUGAAAUGCGUAGAUAUGUGGAGGAACACCGAUGGCGAAGGCAGCCCCCUGGGUCAAGAUUGACGCUCAUGCACGAAAGCGUGGGGAGCAAACAGGAUUAGAUACCCUGGUAGUCCACGCCCUAAACGAUGUCUACUAGUUGUCGGGUCUUAAUUGACUUGGUAACGCAGCUAACGCGUGAAGUAGACCGCCUGGGGAGUACGGUCGCAAGAUUAAAACUCAAAGGAAUUGACGGGGACCCGCACAAGCGGUGGAUGAUGUGGAUUAAUUCGAUGCAACGCGAAAAACCUUACCUACCCUUGACAUGGCUGGAAUCCUUGAGAGAUCAGGGAGUGCUCGAAAGAGAACCAGUACACAGGUGCUGCAUGGCUGUCGUCAGCUCGUGUCGUGAGAUGUUGGGUUAAGUCCCGCAACGAGCGCAACCCUUGUCAUUAGUUGCUACGAAAGGGCACUCUAAUGAGACUGCCGGUGACAAACCGGAGGAAGGUGGGGAUGACGUCAAGUCCUCAUGGCCCUUAUGGGUAGGGCUUCACACGUCAUACAAUGGUACAUACAGAGCGCCGCCAACCCGCGAGGGGGAGCUAAUCGCAGAAAGUGUAUCGUAGUCCGGAUUGUAGUCUGCAACUCGACUGCAUGAAGUUGGAAUCGCUAGUAAUCGCGGAUCAGCAUGUCGCGGUGAAUACGUUCCCGGGUCU
rnacentral:rRNA from 1 species